CUACGGAGGGUGCAAGCGUUAUUCGGAAUCACUAGGCGUAAAGGACGCGUAGGCGGGUUGGCAAGUCAGAUGUGAAAUCCUACAGCUUAACUGUAGAACUGCAUUUGAAACUGCUAACCCAGAGUAUGGGAGGGGGAGAUGGAAUUAGUGGUGUAGGGGUAAAAUCCGUAGAUAUCACUAGGAAUACCGAAAGCGAAGGCGAUCUCCUGGAACAUAACUGACGCUAAGGCGUGAAAGCGUGGGGAGCAAACAGGAUUAGAAACCCUAGUAGUCC
rnacentral:rRNA from 1 species